rnacentral:rRNA from 1 species
UAACAAGGAUUCCCCUAGUAACUGCGAGUGAAGCGGGAAGAGCUCAAAUUUGUAAUCUGGCGGUCUCUGGCCGUCCGAGUUGUAAUCUGUAGAGGCGUCGUCCGCGUCGGCCCGUGUACAAGUCUCCUGGGAUGGAGCGUCAUAGAGGGUGAGAAUCCCGUCCAUGACAUGGACCACCGAUGCUCUGUGAGGUGCCCUCGAAGAGUCGCGUUGUUUGGGAAUGCAGCGCAAAAUGGGUGGUAAAUUCCAUCUAAGGCUAAAUAUUGGCGAGAGACCGAUAGCGAACAAGUACCGUGAGGGAAAGAUGAAAAGCACUUUGAAAAGAGAGUUAAACAGUACGUGAAAUUGUUGAAAGGGAAACGCUUGAAGUCAGUCGCGUCCCGUGGCACUCAGCCUUGCUUCGGCUUGGUGUACUUGCCUUGGGAUGGGUCAACAUCAAUUUUGGCCAGUGGACAAAGGCGAGGGGAAUGUAGCGUCGUUUCGGCGACGUGUUAUAGCCUCUUGUUGAAUACACCGGCUGGGAUUGAGGACUGCAGCACGCCCUUGUGGCCGGGGGUUCGCCUCAUGUAACGUGCUUAGGAUGUUGGCAUAAUGGCUUUAAGCGACCCGUCUUGAAACACGGACCAAGGAGUCUAACAUGCUUGCGAGUGUUCGGGUGGAAAACCCUUGCGUGUAAUGAAAGUGAAAGUUGGGAGCCUUCGCAAGGGGGUGCACCGACGCCCGGCCCUGACGUACUCUGAUGGUGCUGCGGUAGAGCAAGUAUGUUGGGACCCGAAAGAUGGUGAACUAUGCCUGAAUAGGGCGAAGCCAGAGGAAACUCUUGGUGGAGGCUCGUAGCGAUUCUGACGUGCAAAUCGAUCGUCAAAUUUGGG